UACAGAGGUCCCAAGCGUUACUGAGAAUCACUGGGUUUAAAAGGGUGCGUAGGUGGUCCGUUAAGUCAGUUGUGAAAUCCCCGGGCUCAACCCGGGAACUGCUUCUGAUACUGGCGGACUUGAGGCCAGUAGGGGUCACUAGAACUGACGGUGGAGCGGUGAAAUGCGUAGAGAUCAGGAAGAACACCCGUGGCGAAGCGGCCCACUGGGCCGGUACUGACGCCUGAGGCGCGAAGGCGUGGGGGAGCGAACGGG
rnacentral:rRNA from 1 species